AAUAAAAACCUGACUUUGCUUCCAGGGAGAGGACCUAGUCUAGACAUAGUUUGCUUUUGCUGCGGUGGUCAGCUGUGGAAUGUUACUCCUGGUGCUGACAUCUACUACUUACAUGCUUUGUACUUCCCACGCUGCGUCUACAUCAGAUGUAUCUUAGGUGUCCACUACAUCCACGCACUUAAUGAUAUGAUCUCAAGUAGAGUACAACAACAAGGGCGGACAAACCGAAGUCGAGUUGUUCCUGAUCAUAAUCGACACUAUCAAGAUGAAUGGGCAUCUGGAAGGUCAACAAUAUUCAGAUGUCUGCUCUGUAACAGCAGACGACGAUCUAUUCAAUUCUACCCGUGCAAUCAUUUACUAUUCUGCCUGUGUUGUGGUUUCAACGUUAGAGUGUGUCCAGUUUGUGGCCUCCUGGUCAUUUUUAUAGGAUACGUUAUACAAACCGGAUGACCAGCAGAUUCAAUAAAUAGAAUAAUAUUUUAA